UACGUAGGGGGCAAGCGUUGUCCGGAUUUAUUGGGCGUAAAGAGCUCGUAGGUGGUUCAGUAAGUCGAGUGUGAAACCUCCAGGCUCAACCUGGAGACGCCACCCGAUACUGCUGUGACUAGAGUCCAGUAGGGGAGCACGGAAUUCCUGGUGUAGCGGUGAAAUGCGCAGAUAUCAGGAGGAACACCAGUGGCGAAGGCGGUGCUCUGGGCUGGAACUGACACUGAGGAGCGAAAGCGUGGGUAGCAAACAGG
rnacentral:rRNA from 1 species